UUUAAUAUACAGAUUCUGCUUUUCAAUUGCGGUCAUAUACAAGCACUGGUAAAAGAGAUUUUGCAGCUUCCUUAUUGUGUUAGUCGGCAGCCAUGCAUUAGGAAGAAAAGAAAAUCAUAUUUUCUUCAUUGUUUUUUCAGAGUAUUGCUGCAUGCGUUAGGUUUUUUACAAGUCAUCAUCAUAUCAUAAUUUUUGCUGCUGCAUGUAUUAAAACAUGCUUUUGUGUUUUGGUUUUUGCUGCAUGUUUUAGAAUACAUACAUAUAUUCUUAUAUAUUGCUGCAUGCUCUGAAGGUAUGUAUUGUAGUUUGCAUUUGAUGCAGCACCAUGCACUGAAAGCAUCGUCAUUCAUAUAACAGCAGAAAGUUUGUUUUCCAUGUCGGUCAGCAGCCUGUGUUUUUAAAAGAAAAAUCAUAUUUUUCCCGUGAGGUUUAUGGUAGAAAAAUCAGUUUGUAUCCACAAGUGUUUCUUUUAAAGACAAAUUUAGUUUUGUUCACUGAUUUUUUAUUGUGCCUUAAUCGAAAUCAAUUAUGAAAAUGUGCCUUGUGAUUUUCAUAAUUGAUUGAUUUUUAAAAUUAUUUCAUUUCAUUCAUUCUGUAUGAUCGUGUUAGUAUCCUGCAAAGUUCAAGGAUGGAGUGAUUGACGGUCGCCUUCGAAAGCUGAAGAGAGAUCGAGUAGCAAAGCGUAAAGACAAAGCUGCCAGUUAACAUGUAUGUCUAGUUGAUGAGUUUUGUAAGUCUUUUUGUAUUUGUUUUUCUCGUAGUGUUUUUUGGCUUGAGAGCCCGAGGAUUUUCCCAAUGGUGGGUUUUGCCUCGUUAAAUCCUACAUCUUGUGUGCACAUUUUAUUUGUUGUUUUUAACUGCAUACACGUUGGAUAAUUUGAUAUGUGUUGUGAAUGUGAAAAUUAAAUUAAAAUUGAAUUGAAUUUUUAAGUCGGAACUUAUUCACCCCCUCUAGGUUAAACUAAUACCCAUCAUAGAACUUUCAAUUCUCAUGAGAGUCCCUCUUGGCGGUACACUUCUCCCUUGUGAGGCUCGUGCUGCUUGGUCUUGGGACUUCUGUUGUAAUUCUUGCC
rnacentral:lncRNA from 1 species